UCAGGUUUUUCUUCUCCUUUGGGCAACUGCUUAAAUUCAGAGGCAGCUACCAAAAGGAAACGUCUCUCUACCCCCUACUGUUUCUUCUGUGCAAAAGAAUGUAAAAUAUGAGGCUUCUCUUUCGCAUGUAGGCCUGAGAAGUUUUGACAAGAAUGUGUAUGCAGGGAGAAAUGACUGGUGAAAGAAUUUAGAAAGAAUGUAUGGGGACAAAAAGGAAUCACAUGAGCUGAUUUAAAUUCUUCUUGUGACAAGGGAGAAAACAGAAGAAAAGUUGCAACAGAGUGAAAAAUCAGGAAAACCUCAUCGAGAUAGAUAUUCUGCCAGAGACAAAACGAAACCUCAUCGAGAUAGAUAUUCUGCCAGAGAAAAAUGAGACAUCAGAUAUGUGUGAUCACAGGUCAUAGACUCAGUGAAGUGCCACUGUCACAAUGCUCUCAUGCCAAACCUUGACUGCAAAGCUGAGAUGUUAAUAUGGAACACCUGAGAGGGCUGGCACUUCAGCGUCCUUAUUCCUCCAGAACCACACCACAAAAGUCACCUUCUCCCCAGACAGAUUCUCUACAAAAUGCCUUGCAGCCGAGGUGUGGUGGAAAGAAUAUUGUAUUUGGAAUAAAAAAUUUUUGAUUUUG
rnacentral:lncRNA from 1 species